rnacentral:rRNA from 1 species
UACGAAGGGGGCUAGCGUUGUUCGGAUUUACUGGGCGUAAAGCGCACGUAGGCGGAUCGUUAAGUCGGGGGUGAAAUCCUGGAGCUCAACUCCAGAACUGCCUUCGAUACUGGCGAUCUUGAGUCCGGAAGAGGUGAGUGGAACUCCUAGUGUAGAGGUGGAAUUCGUAGAUAUUGGGAAGAACACCAGUGGCGAAGGCGGCUCACUGGCCCGUAACUGACGCUGAGGUGCGAAAGCGUGGGGAGCAAACAGG